AACGAACGCUGGCGGCAGGCUUAACACAUGCAAGUCGAACGCGUGUAGCAAUACACGAGUGGCGCACGGGUGAGUAACGCGUGGAUAUCUGCCUUUUGGUUCGGAAUAACUCAGGGAAACUUGUGCUAAUACCGAAUGUGCCCUUCGGGGAAAGGAUUUAUCGCCAUUAGAGCGGCCCGCGUCUGAUUAGCUAGUUGGUG
rnacentral:rRNA from 1 species